UAGGAGAACCCCCAAAAUCGCGAAGCGAUUUUUUAAAAUGGGUUCUCCGAAAAGCCGCCGGAGAGAAGCGGAGGGGGCAAUACCUU
rnacentral:sRNA from 1 species